AGAGUUUGAUCCUGGCUCAGGACGAACGCUGGCGGCGUGCCUAAUACAUGCAAGUCGAGCGGACUUGAGGGAGCUUGCUCCCAAGAGUUAGCGGCGGACGGGUGAGUAACACGUGGGCAACCUACCUGUAAGACUGGGAUAACUUCGGGAAACCGGAGCUAAUACCGGAUAACUUCUUUUCUCGCAUGGGGAGAGGUUGA
rnacentral:rRNA from 1 species